UGCCAUAGAAAGCAAUAGGAACCAUGUGAUGUGAGCACAACUACAAUAGUCUAAUGAUGAAUGUUUACUUGGAAAAUGUAGAGGUCAAAUUCGACAGCUUUCUAGCUUUCUUAAUAAAAUAAUAACCUAAGCUAAACAUAUCAAUUACGCAUACACUUCUAAUACAGUGGACAUUUCCUAUUUUAGAUACAUGAAAAACAGGUAUAACCUCAACGCUAUUCUACUCAGGAUUACAAGAACUAGUUGAUCAGAUGAUUAAGUUACAAGAUUACGCCUAAAACUGUUCAAUGCCUUUCAUAAUCUCUGCCUUGCAAGUUGUCUUAUAAUGACCAGUUUGGUUACAUUUACUACAAUGCACAGUAUGUUUCUCACGGUUAAGGUCCUCUACACAAAUUCGUUUCUUUUCUGGGCGUCCUGGUGGACGACGAAAUUUCGGAGGCCGCACAACUUGAGCAUCAUCAUCAUCAUCAUCCAUUGGAGCAUCACCCACCUUUCUCCACUCAAUUUUUUCAGGGAUGGGGUGUAUAUCUUCUGCAUAAGCUUCACGGUAACUAGCAACAGUAAAGCACUUCUCCGUAAAUGCAUAUACAUCUUUUCUACAAGAAAUUAGCGCUGCAACUGCAUGCGAACAUGGUAUCCCAUGAAGCUGCCAAUCACGGCAGGAACAAGAGUGUGUACCAAUAUUAACAAUGUCUGAGCGCUCUGCUGAUAUAACUUCAAAUUCAACUUCAUCAGAUCUAAGGACUUGAUAUGUUGAUGCACGAUUGAUAGCUUCAACCAUGCGUUUCUCCGCAGAUGGAGUCAGCACUGAAAACCAGGAAAUACUCUUCAAACGCCGGUCCUCAAACUCAGCCAUUAAUUUAUUGUGAAUUCGCUCAAUGACCUGGAUUAUAGGUAACUCUCGAGCUUCAAGAAUCCAUAUAUUAAAUUCCUCGAUAUUUGAAGACAAAUGGCCAUACCGUGUUCCUUCAGAAUACACUAAGGCCCAACGAGAGGGAGGAAAUUGUUGCAACCACUUUGCAGCUGCAGAUGAAACCUCCGAAAUUUCACCCAUUUUUUCUUUGAAACCAAUGUUAGUGGUAGCACAAGCAGCUUUCCACAAAAGAUGGACAAGCCUCGAGUUUUUGAAUUCUUUACCAAUGCUGUCACUCAAGUAGCGCAUGCAAAAUACAUGAGAAGAAUUUGGGAAUUUUCUUUUUACCGCAUCUACAAUGCCUUUUGGUCCAUCAGACAAAAAAGUGAGCCUAGGCAUACUCUCAGUGUUCAUCUCCAAUGCUUUCUGUAACUCUGACAAGAACCACACCCAGCUCUCAUCAUUUUCUACAUCAACAACACCAAAUGCAAGUGGGAAAAACCCACCAUCAGCAUCAAAAGAUGAGGCUACAAGUAAGGUACCAAGAUAUUUGCUCUUAAGUUGAAUUCCACCGAGCCCAAUGAUAGGCACACACCCAUUCAAGAAUCCAUAUAAGGAUGCAUAGAACGAAACAAAAAGCCUUUGGAACCGAUUGUCUGCACCAGUAGUGAACACUUCUGCAAUACUUCCAGGGUUAGUUCUUUUUAUUUGUUCACAGUAUGAAGGAAGCAGGCAGUAUCCUUCUUCAGAAGAGCCAUAAAUUGCUGCAAGUCCCCGUUCCUUAGCACGCCAAGCCUGCUUGUAAGGAAUAGUGAUUCCAUACUGCUUAUGAAUGUCAUGUAAAAUAUCCUUUGGUUUGUAAUUGAUAUUAUUUCGUAAUCGUUCCUCGAUAAAGCUCACAAUCCAAUCCACAGAAGCUUGAUGGUGACCAUUUUGCGCAUUUCUCCCACAAGUAUGAGUUCCUUCAAGGCUUCUUAUUGUGAAGGUUGGGACAUUAGGAAGUUUAACAGCACGAAUGCGCCAUGGACAACCUUCUGAGGCACACUUUGCAAAGUAUCGAAUCAGGUCACUUUUUAUAAUACGAAGUUCAAAGUGUUGAGCAAUUGCAGCUUCUUUAAUUGCAUUCCGGAAAGCUUUGACAUCAGGGAACUCUUGACCAACAACAAAAGUGUAGUCCUCCAUGUGUUAACCAAAUCAAAUGCAGAAGCCCACCAUUUGGCUGUGUUAGAAUGUUAAAACAAGAGGCAGCCUAUGUUGCUCUCAUAAAUUAAAAGGCCACAACCCAAUUAUGAUACUCCAGCCCACGCACCUUAGAUUCGAAAAAGUUUUGAGCAUAGAACUGGGAAUCCGAGCUCAGGAGAUAGGAAGAAGAAGAAGAAGGAAAUGAAUGUGCAUGUGAGAACAGUUAGAGAAUUCGGACCAACGAUUAGGG
rnacentral:misc_RNA from 1 species